rnacentral:rRNA from 1 species
AGCGAACGCUGGCGGCGUGCUUAACACAUGCAAGUCGAGUGCGCGGUUCGUAGCAAUACGAACUGGCGCACGGCGCACGGGUGAGGAACACGUGGGCAACAUGCCCUCCGAUGGGGAAUAACCCGCCGAAAGGCGGGCUAAUACCGCAUACGAUUCCGGGGACCUCGGUUCCUGGACUGAAAGCCCGCAAGGGCGUCGGUGGAGUGGCCCGCGGCCGAUUAGCUUGUGGCGGGGUAACGCCACCAGGCAAUGAUCGGUAGCCGGUCUGAGAGGAUGAUCGGCCACACUGGAACUGAGACACGGUCCAGACUCCUACGGGAGGCAGCA